rnacentral:rRNA from 1 species
GCCCAGAGAAAUUUGGAUUAAUACCCCAUAGUAUUUUCAGAUGGCCUCAUUUGAUUAUUAAAGUUCCAACGGUACAAGAUGAGCAUGCGUCCCAUUAGCUAGUUGGUGUGGUAACGGCAUACCAAGGCAACGAUGGGUAGGGGUCCUGAGAGGGAGAUCCCCCACACUGGUACUGAGACACGGACCAGACUCCUACGGGAGGCAGCAGUGAGGAAUAUUGGUCAAUGGGCGCAAGCCUGAACCAGCCAUGCCGCGUGCAGGAUGACGGUCCUAUGGAUUGUAAACUGCUUUUGUACAGGAAGAAACCCUCCCUUGUAAGGGAGCUUGACGGUACUGUAAGAAUAAGGAUCGGCUAACUCCGUGCCAGCAGCCGCGGUAAUACGGAGGAUCCAAGCGUUAUCCGGAAUCAUUGGGUUUAAAGGGUCCGUAGGCGGUUUUAUAAGUCAGUGGUGAAAUCUGGUCGCUCAACGAUCAAACGGCCAUUGAUACUGUAAGACUUGAAUUACUUGGAAGUAACUAGAAUAUGUAGUGUAGCGGUGAAAUGCUUAGAGAUUACAUGGAAUACCGAUUGCGAAGGCAGGUUACUACGAGUAUAUUGACGCUGAUGGACGAAAGCGUGGGGAGCGAACAGGAUUAGAUACCCUGGUAGUCCACGCCGUAAACGAUGGAUACUAGCUGUUUGGAGCAAUCUGAGUGGCUAAGCGAAAGUGAUAAGUAUCCCACCUGGGGAGUACGCUCGCAAGAGUGAAACUCAAAGGAAUUGACGUGGGCCCGCACAAGCGGAGGAGCAUGUGGUUUAAUUCGAUGAUACGCGAGGAACCUUACCAAGGCUUAAAUGGGAAACGACAGAUUUGGAAACAGAUCUUUCUUCGGACGUUUUUCAAGGUGCUGCAUGGUUGUCGUCAGCUCGUGCCGUGAGGUGUCAGGUUAAGUCCUAUAACGAGCGCAACCCCUGUUGCUAGUUGCCAGCGAGUCAUGUCGGGAACUCUAGCUAGACUGCCGGUGCAAACCGCGAGGAAGGUGGGGAUGACGUCAAAUCAUCACGGCCCUUACGCCUUGGGCUACACACGUGCUACAAUGGACGGUACAGAGAGCAGCCACUACGCAAGUAGGAGC